GGGUUAGUAGGUUGGUCAUGCCUCUGGUAUGUACUGGUCUCACUGAUUCCUCCUUCCUGAUGAACCGUAAUGCCAUUAAUUUGGUGUUGCGGGGAAUUUGGACUGUUACUUUGAAAAAAUUAGAGUGUUUAAAACAGGCGUUUGCUUGAAUACAUUAGCAUGGAAUAACGGAAUAGGACU
rnacentral:rRNA from 1 species